rnacentral:lncRNA from 1 species
ACCAUUUUUCCUCUCCCUAUCUUCGAUCGUACUCCUCACGUGAUUAGCAUGCGGUUUUCGUACCAUGGGAAGUCCAAGAAUCCUCUAGAAAAUGUGUAGAUGUCCGCUCCAAUAGAUAGAUGCUGAGAAUUUCAGGUUGAAUGGUACAAAAUCGUACAUACUUGCCCGCUUCUCAUUGGUUGGUGAGAAAAAUUUCAUCCCU